rnacentral:misc_RNA from 1 species
AACGCACAUUGCGCCCUUUGGUAUUCCAAAGGGCAUGCCUGUUUGAGCGUCAUUUCUCUCUCAAACCUUCGGGUUUGGUAUUGAGUGAUACUCUUAGUCAAACUAGGCGUUUGCUUGAAAUGUAUUGGCAUGAGUGGUACUGGAUAGUGCUAUAUGACUUUCAAUGUAUUAGGUUUAUCCAACUCGUUGAACAGUUUAAUGGUAUAUUUCUCGGUAUUCUAGGCUCGGCCUUACAACAUAACAAACAAGUUUGACCUCAAAUCAGGUAGGACUACCCGCUGAACUUAA